UCAUGUUUGAUAUGUAAUAUUCAGGGUUAUUUGCAUACACUGAUAUUUGAUAAAAUGGGAAUCAUGUUCAGCUGUCACGGCUCAGUCUGUGCCUCCAUGUUGUAAAGUUAGUUGAGUCCCUUCGCUGUUUGCGAAUUACGAUGGUAGAUAACAUGUGUCGAUGAGUGUCAGCGAGGAAAGGGAGAUCACUCUAGCGACAUGUACAAGGAGCAGACGGCAUCGGCGGACAUGAGGGAGGACGUCGUGUUGUAAGAUAGAAAGAUUCACUGCUGUGGCCAUUUCUUCAAGCGGACUGCAAUGGACUGACUUUGAUCCUCGUGUACAAGAAGCUGAGGAAGAACAAUUUUUUCCAGAAAUUUGAACAUGAUGUCCGCUACCACGUGACUCUGAUGUCCGCUACAGUUGCUGGUACACAGACGGCUGAGAAAUUAACUUCAGUCCAUGGACUACAGCCUCAGUGUGUGAGCGUUGUUCACCAGUGACCUUGUGAGUACCCGCUGAACUAUUAUUCUUCAGGUCCGGCUGACUGUUGAUUGAAAACAAAUAAAAAUUCUAU